UAGGGAAUCUUCCACAAUGGGCGAAAGCCAGAUGGAGCAACGCCGCGUGUGUGAUGAAGGGUUUCGGCUCGUAAAACACUGUUGUAAGAGAAGAAUGACAUUGAGAGUAACUGUUCAAUGUGUGACGGUAUCUUACCAGAAAGGAACGGCUAAAUACGUGCCAG
rnacentral:rRNA from 1 species